GACGAACGCUGGCGGCGUGCUUAACACAUGCAAGUCGAACGGAAAGGCCCUGCUUUUGUGGGGUGCUCGAGUGGCGAACGGGUGAGUAACACGUGAGUAACCUGCCCUUGACUUUGGGAUAACUUCAGGAAACUGGGGCUAAUACCGGAUAGGAUCUCCUGCUGCAUGGUGGGGGUUGGAAAUUUUCGGCGGUUGGGGAUGGACGCGCGGCUUAUCAGCUUGUUGGUUGGGUAGUUGCUUACCAAGGCUUUGACGGGUAGCCGGCCUGAGAGGGUGACCGGCCACAUUGGGACUGAGAUACGGCCCAGACUCCUACGGGAGGCAGUAGUGGGGAAUAUUGCACAAUGGGAGGAAGCCUGAUGAAGAAACGCCGCGUGCGGGAUGACGGCUUUCGGGUUGUAAACCGCUUUCGCUUGUGACGAAGCGUGAGUGACGGUAAUGGGUAAAGAAGCACCGGCUAACUACGUG
rnacentral:rRNA from 1 species